rnacentral:rRNA from 1 species
GCAUGAGUGUAGCAAUACAUUUGAUGGCGACCGGCAAACGGGUGCGGAACACGUACAGAACCUUCCUUCAAGUGGUGAAUAGCCCAGAGAAAUUUGGAUUAAUACACCGUAACAUAUGAGAGUGGCAUCACUUUUAUAUUAUAGCUCCGGCGCUUGAAGAUGGCUGUGCGGCUGAUUAGGUAGUUGGCGGGGUAACGGCCCACCAAGCCUGCGAUCAGUAACUGGUGUGAGAGCACGACCAGUCACACGGGCACUGAGACACGGGCCCGACUCCUACGGGAGGCAGCAGUAAGGAAUAUUGGUCAAUGGACGCAAGUCUGAACCAGCCAUGCCGCGUGAAGGAUGAAGGUCCUCUGGAUUGUAAACUUCUUUUAUCUGGGACGAAAAAAGGGCUUUCUAGCUCGACUGACGGUACCAGAGGAAUAAGCACCGGCUAACUCCGUGCCAGCAGCCGCGGUAAUACGGAGGGUGCAAGCGUUAUCCGGAUUCACUGGGUUUAAAGGGAGCGUAGGCGGGCAGGUAAGUCAGUGGUGAAGUCUCCGGGCUUAACCCGGAAACUGCCAUUGAUACUAUCUGUCUUGAAUAUCCUGGAGGUAAGCGGAAUAUGUCAUGUAGCGGUGAAAUGCUUAGAUAUGACAUAGAACACCCAUUGCGAAGGCAGCUUACUACGGGAUGAUUGACGCUGAGGCUCGAAAGCGUGGGGAUCAAACAGGAUUAGAUACCCUGGUAGUCCACGCCCUAAACGAUGGAUACUCGACAUCAGCGAUACACUGUUGGUGUCUGA